CCUACGGGAGGCAGCAGUGGGGGAUAUUGGACAAUGGGGGGAACCCUGAUCCAGCGACGCCGCGUGAGUGAAGAAGUAUUUCGGUAUGUAAAGCUCUGUCAGCAGGGAAGAAAGAAAUGACGGUACCUGACCAAGAAGCCCCGGCUAACUACGUGCCAGCAGCCGCGGUAAUACGUAGGGGGCAAGCGUUAUCCGGAAUUACUGGGUGUAAAGGGAGAGUAGACGGUUAAGUAAGUCUGGAGUGAAAGGCCGGGGCUCAACCCCGGGACUGCUCUGGAAACUAUUUAACUUGAGUGCAGGAGAGGUAAGCGGAAUUCCUAGUGUAGCGGUGAAAUGCGUAGAUAUUAGGAGGAAAACCAGUGGCGAAGGCGGCUUACUGGACUGUAACUGACGUUGAGGCUCGAAAGCGUGGGGAGCAAACAGGAUUAGAUACCCCAGUAGUC
rnacentral:rRNA from 1 species